CAGCAGGUGGAGCAGUAGUGGAUGGGGUCUUCGUGUUCAUCACAGAGGUGGAGAUGAGCUCAAACUGUUAGUGGUCAAAGCAUGGGAAGGGAGCAAAGAGCAAGGCCGGAAACAUGGGUAUGCAGAUAUCAUGCAUCCUCUCUUGGGAGAAGACCAAGAAAGCCACAUGGAUAAUCUGGCUUAUUGAAGUAAGGUAGUGAUAUUGUUCCCUACAACCCUUAUCUGUACUUUCACUCCUGGUGUGAAAGCUGGUGGAAAUGUAUGGCUUUAAUCGUUUGUUGCUCCAC